GAAAAGUAGUACCAUUGAUAUAAAAAAAAUACAUCUUUAAUUCAAAAACCUUGCGUACAUUGAAACAAAAUCCUUUUUCCUUGAUUUAAGUAAAUUUUAUAUUGAACCGAACUAUUUUUCCUUUAAACCAAUGUUCCAAGUUUUAAAAUCAAAGUAUUUAAUUUAAAUUUAAAGAAUUUAUUUUUUGACGCAGAAUCAAUGUAAAAAUUCAUUGAUUUAGAUGAAUGUUUUUUUGAAUCAAAGUAUUUUUUCGUCAAAUAGUCGACACAUCUUCAUUAGCUUCUGUUUGGUGAACGGGUCGGGGAAAAGCUUUUCCGAUAACCAGUCAGACUUAUUUAUACCAGCGGAAUCUUCCUGCCGUGCAACCCCAGACAGCAUCGGAUUCAAGAGCGGAAAAUUCCGACAGCUACGAGAGGGCAAACGAUAGUGGACUCCAAGGGCAACCAUUCGUCCAACCAAUUUGAAAAGGUAACUGUGCUGACUGUUCCAGUCCUCCGGCUAUAAGCGGUUGCAAUCGGUUCCGAUCCGGUCCAGGGAGACACAACGGCUGACGCCAAAACCCUUUUGUUCGAAAGCAACUGUCUAGCAACGAAUAUCGUUCAAUGAACCGGUUUAAAAAUUCAAUAUAAGGGAAAAUCGAUUAUGUGAAGUGGUGAACGAUAGAACAUCUACUUACAGAGAAAAAAAACUUACAGAGAAAUAAAAUGUUUCCAAC